rnacentral:tRNA from 1 species
GCCUCCGUGGUGCAGUGGUUUAGCACUCUGGACUUCUAUCGCAGUUAUACUGGAAGCUAGUUCGAACCCAGCCGGAGACA